rnacentral:rRNA from 1 species
UGGGGAAUAUUGGACAAUGGGCGAAAGCCUGAUCCAGCCAUGCCGCGUGUGUGAAGAAGGUCUUCGGAUUGUAAAGCACUUUAAGUUGGGAGGAAGGGCAUUUACCUAAUACGUAAGUGUUUUGACGUUACCGACAGAAUAAGCACCGGCUAACUCUGUGCCAGCAGCCGCGGUAAUACAGAGGGUGCAAGCGUUAAUCGGAAUUACUGGGCGUAAAGCGCGCGUAGGUGGUUCGUUAAGUUGGAUGUGAAAUCCCCGGGCUCAACCUGGGAACUGCAUUCAAAACUGACAAGCUAGAGUAUGGUAGAGGGUGGUGGAAUUUCCUGUGUAGCGGUGAAAUGCGUAGAUAUAGGAAGGAACACCAGUGGCGAAGGCGACCACCUGGACUGAUACUGACACUGAGGUGCGAAAGCGUGGGGAGCAAAACAGGAUUAGAUACCCUGGUAGUCCACGCCGUAAACGAUGUCAACUAGCCGUUGGGAGCCUUGAGCUCUUAGUGGCGCAGCUAACGCAUUAAGUUGACCGCCUGGGG